UACGUAGGGGGCAAGCGUUGUCCGGAAUCACUGGGCGUAAAGGGCGCGUAGGCGGCCUGAUAAGUAGGGGGUGAAAUCCUGUGGCUUAACUGCAGGGCUGCCUCCUAGACUGUUAGGCUCGAGCACGGUAGAGGCAGAUGGAAUUCCCGGUGUAGCGGUGGAAUGCGUAGAGAUCGGGAAGAACAUCGGUGGCGAAGGCGGUCUGCUGGGCCGUUGCUGACGCUGAGGCGCGACAGUGUGGGGAGCGAACAGG
rnacentral:rRNA from 1 species